rnacentral:rRNA from 1 species
GAUGAACGCUAGCUACAGGCUUAACACAUGCAAGUCGAGGGGCAGCGGUAUCGAAAGCUUGCUUUCGGUAGCCGGCGACCGGCGCACGGGUGAGUAACGCGUAUCGAACCUGCCUCAUACUCGGGAAUAGCCUUGCGAAAGUAAGAUUAAUGCCCGGUGUUUUCAGAGUCCCGCAUGAGGCUUUGAACAAAGAUUUAUCGGUAUGAGAUGGCGAUGCGUCCCAUUAGCUUGUUGGCGGGGUAACGGCCCACCAAGGCAUCGAUGGGUAGGGGUUCUGAGAGGAAGGUCCCCCACAUUGGAACUGAGACACGGUCCACACUCCUACGGGAGGCAGCAGUGCGGAAUAUUGGUCAAUGGGCGGAAGCCUGAACCAGCCAAGUAGCGUGCAGGAAGACGGCCCUCCGGGUUGUAAACUGCUUUUAGUUGGGAAUAAAACGGGGCUCGUGAGCCCCCUUGCAUGUACCAUCAGAAAAAGGACCGGCUAAUUCCGUG